rfam:Xenopus tropicalis strain Nigerian scaffold_413_contig_1, whole genome shotgun sequence.
ACAAAGGCUCUUUUCAGAGCCCCCAAAUCCACAAUCAAACGAGCUG